AGAGUUUGAUCCUGGCUCAGAAUCAACGCUGGCGGCGUGCCUAACACAUGCAAGUCGAACGAGAAAGGGUAGCAAUACCUGAGUAAAGUGGCGCACGGGUGAGUAACACGUGACUAACCUACCCUGGAGUGGGGGAUAACUGGGAGAAAUCCUAGCUAAUACCGCAUAAUACCCACGGGUCAAAGGAGCAAUUCGCUUCAGGAGGGGGUCGCGGUCGAUUAGUUAGUUGGCGGGGUAAUGGCCCACCAAGACUGUGAUCGAUAUCCGGCCUGAGAGGGCGCACGGACACACUGGAACUGAAACACGGUCCAGACUCCUACGGGAGGCAGCAGUGGGGAAUUUUGCGCAAUGGGGGAAACCCUGACGCAGCAACGCCGCGUGGAGGAUGAAGUCCUUCGGGACGUAAACUCCUUUCGAUCGGGACGAUAAUGACGGUACCGGAAGAAGAAGCCCCGGCUAACUUCGUGCCAGCAGCCGCGGUAAUACGAGGGGGGCGAGCGUUGUUCGGAAUUAUUGGGCGUAAAGGGUGCGUAGGCGGUUUGGUAAGUCUCGUGUGAAAUCUACAGGCUCAACUUGUAGUCUGCACGAGAAACUGCCGGGCUUGAGUAUGGGAGAGGUGAGUGGAAUUCCUGGUGUAGCGGUGAAAUGCGUAGAUAUCAGGAGGAACACCUGUGGCGAAAGCGGCUCACUGGACCAUAACUGACGCUGAUGCACGAAAGCUAGGGGAGCAAACAGGAUUAGAUACCCCAGUAGUCC
rnacentral:rRNA from 1 species